ensembl:lncRNA
UUUUUUUAACUGGUGUACAUUAUCACUUUUUAAUGGACACCUUCCAGCCAAUCAGAAUCGAGUAUUCACCCAGACCAUGGUAUAACACAUUUUAACCAUAGACAUAUUAUUAAUAGACCGUCAUUCCUCACUCCUCCCCGUUUACCACAAUACGCUCUUUUCACGCAACGUCACGAAUCCGCCUUCCGUGCAGUGUAAACUGACUUCCUGUCCGCGCUACUGUAAUGGAAUGAGAUCGUGCUUUUCAAUCUGAAGUGUCAUAAAGAAAUUCACCGUGGACAUCAAGUGGAAGGAUGGCCCAGUCAUAAGACUUCUAACAUUUAUCCCAUUAGUUUGGCACAUCAUCUUCAGGUAAUAUUUCAGCAAUUUUGUAACAUUAUGGAUAGAGAUCUAAGUCUCAUUCAUCUUUGUUGAAGUCGCUCUGUAGCAGACACGGAUUGCAUUGAAUGACUCUGUGUAUAAUAAACGCUUGUUUGACGCUACCUAAAAUAAAGUUGACGUUCUGUACAAAUAUACUUAACUUUAAUUUUUUUCAACAGAUAACCUUCAACUUAAAUGAUGUCCCGGUUACUGUGCAGGAAAAGUCCUGCGGGGAAGGCCCUCAGUACUUUACCAAACAGCACACUACAGGACCAUGGGCUUUAAAAGUGUGCCUGUUGCUUUAUCCUGUACCAGUACACGGCCAAGCACGCAGGUAAAGUUUUUGCCUAUAGUUUUUAUUAGUGGCAUAAUAUUUUCCAAUAUUUACAUCGGUUGUACCACCUGACACCAAAAGUGUGACAGUUUACCUAUGAGUCGGAAAAAAGCAAUUUUUUCGCAAUUCUUGAAAGAGAUUUUCAAACCUUUCACUCAGCCAUAAAGACGACUUGUUCUUCUGGCUGAUGUCAUAUCCUGUUUGCUGUUACUAUUCUUUAUUUGAAAAUAACAGCCCUGUUCUUAUGGUUGUGCCACCCUGAUAUUUUAAGAUUACAAAUUGUCGGACAAAAGUUUUUUUAGUGAUCUCAAAAGCUUUAAAACUAUUAAUAUUCACAAAUGAUGGCUUAUUUGAAAGAUAUUUAACAUACAAUUAUCCCAUGAUGUUUUAUUUUUUAAUUGUUACCCUGAAAAUACAAUUUUCAGAAGCUUUACUAGUCUAAUCAUUUGCUUGGACGGUUGCACCACCUGACAUUUUAGGGGUUUGAGGUCUGAAAACAUAAAUAAAUGUGUAUUAUUGAAAUGUGAUGAAAAUGUGUUUAAACUAAAUAGGUUUUGUAGAAUAAAGUGAUACAUGUAAUCAGGGGCAUGCUGGGACCUCAUUUCAGCCCGGGAAUUUGAAGAAGACCGACCCGGAAUUAUGGCUCCGUAAUAGUGCGCUGGUCUCAAGUACAAGAGGUUGCUGGAUCAAAUACCACACAUUGACAAUUUUCUAACAAUUUCUCUUUUCACAUGGGCCGCUGCACACACAGUCUGAGCCUGAUACAAACCCACAAUCAGCACAAGCACAUAAUGUCAGAAUAAUGUCAGGGACCAGUGGACAACACUAUGAGACACCCAUUGAGACAGUUUAUCAGUAAAAAAAAAACUUGAUUUGGUGUUUAGUUACUCUUUAAGUAGGAGAUUCCUAAAAUUUAUGCUACCAUAACCAGCCCGGUGCCCCAGAUUGUUUUAACCCAGCGUAAUCACAGGAGGAAUAUCUAGCUCUAGCCACUUCUAAAACAUUAGGCACCGGGCAUUAAAGUUGUUUUAACGUGUCUAAAGUCCAAUGCAUUCCAAUGGGGGAAUAGCGGCCAUAUGGAGGUACUACAGCAAUAGCGGAGCAAUGGCGGCCUCCAGUGUCGUAGUCACAAAGCAGAGCAGUGCGUGCCACCUUGUCAACCUCUACAAAAAGGCAAAAAGGCAGGUAAUACAUUCUCAAAAUAUGCAGAAAACAACACUAGAACGAGCAUCUAACCAUCUAGCUAACUAUAUGAACAGCUGCUAUUAUCUGCUUUAUGCAUGACUGAAGUUAAGUGAGGAGCUGAAUAGUUAAAAGCCUUACCUUGAACGGUGAUAAACGAUUCCUGCACACACCGCCACGCAGAGCAGCAGCAAGUACCUCUGCUUCAGUGACAGGCGGACGCAUAUGCGCUCCAUGGACCGUAAAAAACGUCACUACCAGUUAGUUAGCUGCUGCUGCUGCUUCCUCGUCAUUGCUUUACUCUUUACUGCCAACAUCACUGUUAACAAAUCCCCAAACAUGGGUACGACAACUUGCAAACUGACAUGCCAACCGUCGGUGACCAAGUUACGCCAUGAUAAUGACAAUGUUGUUCGGGAAUCCUAAACUACGAUUCCUUUCAUGACAUCAAACUCCCAGGUUUUUGAGGGAAAAAAUAAAGCAUUUAUUCGAACAGGCAGGCUAACUAAAUCUAGCUGAUCAAACUGAAUGUAGCUAGUUACAUAGCCAAGAGAGUGGAGAGGGGGCAGUUUGAGUUUCUGUCAAAACAAACACCGGUGUUCUGUCGAAAUCACCCCGCCUGUCGAGAAGUGCCUCCCCCCAGCAUAAAGCGCAUCUAAACCCAAUUUUUAUGAUAUUUUCACAUCCGUAAAAUGUAAAAAUGCCCUUGCUUUUGUAUAUAUAAGAUCAAGUUAUUUGUUUUUAAGAACAACAUGUAGACCUCCAUGGUGAUCUAUCUCGAUAAAUGAUAAAUAUUAUAAACUCAUUCUUUAUCAAUUAAAUCAGUAAGGCUGUGGAGAAGUGCAAAUCAUAACAAAAUAAAUGAAUGUACCCACGAUUAGCGUAAAUAAACUACUCAAUUUGACGGCUUGAAGCGGGGGUCCUCGUCAUACGCAUGCGCAAUAGCAAUAAAUCAUACAUUUCGACAAGGGAAGCGAUUUCGACAGAACACUUGCGAGCUUUUGUUAUGCUACCUCUCCACCUCUCCACCCGAGCUGCGGGUGCGCUUGAUUUGGAC